GCAGACAUUUCCCUUGCGGAGACUUACAUCUUCUGGAAUGAAGUUCAGAACAUUUUUUGGAAACAUUAAAAUCGUUUGUUUCCAGCAUUUUUUGGACUACUCUUUAUUUAUCAUCAUAACCCAUAGAAAUUGGAUAUUAGACUGUAGGGGAAGCCUGGGAAAUGGACUCACUUUCUGCAUGGUUCUUCCACUAAACUGGUUUUGACCAGGGCUACUUUAAAAGCAGAGACAUCACCUUGCCAACAAAGGUCUGUAUAGUUAAAGCUAUGGUUUUCCCAGUAGUGAUGUAUGGAAGUGAGAGCUGGACCAUGAAGAAGGCUGAUCGCUCAAGAAUUGAUGCUUUUGAAUUAUGGUGCUGCAGGAGACUCUUGAGAGUUCCAUGGACUGCAAGAAGAUCAAACCUCUCCAUUCUGAAGGAAAUCAGCCCUGAGUGCUCACUGGAAGGACAGAUCAUGAAGCUGAGGCUCCAAGACUUUGGCCACCUCAUGAGAAGAGAAGACUCCCUGGAAAAGACCCUGAUGUUGGGAAAGAUUGAGGGCACAAGGAGAAGGGGACAACAGAGGACGAGAUGGUUGGACAGUGUUCUCGAAGCUACCAGCAUGAGUUUGACCAAACUGUGGGAGGCAGUGGAAGACAGGAGUGCCUGGCGUGCUCUGGUCCAUGGGGUCACGAAGAGUCGGACACGACUAAACGACUAAACAACAACAACAACAACAACUUUCAUGGAGCUUGUGGCUCUGCACAACUCCUCCAACCACACUGGCUUGACCAAUAUUUCCAGUUCCAAGAGCUGUGCUGAGUACCUUUGAAGACCUGAAAGGACCAAGUUGUUUGAAGAACCAUCUCCUCCCACAUGACCCUACCUAUCUACUCAAGCUUUUGAAGAAGUCUCUGCUCUGCAUGUCCCAUCAUCGCCAUCAAAGGUGUAGUUGGUGGGCAUGUGAAGGAGAAGCUUCUCUGUCAUGCCACUGAAGUUGUGGGACUUCCUGUACCUGGAGAUUAGAUUGGUCCCAUUUCUCAUCUCAUCUAGAUUCCUGGUGAAAGUUACAACUUCAGUCUGUUUGGCUUUUUAACUAUUUGUUGCUAACUUAUGCUGCUUUGUUAUCUAAAUUGUAGUGUUGAGGGAGUUGGAGAAGGCAAGACUUAUUAGGAACAGUUGAAGGAGCUGGGUAUUUUUAGCCUGGGAAAGGGGAGACUGAGAGGAGAUAUGACAACCAUCUUCAAAUAUCUCAAGGGCUGGCACAUGGAGGAUAACAACAACAACAACAACAACAACAACAACAACAACAACAACAAUUUAUUAUUUAUUUUAUACCCCACCCAUCUGGCUGGGCUUCCCCAGCCACUCUGGGUGGCUUCCAACAAAAUAUUAAAAUAUAGUAAUGGAUCAAACAUUUAAAGCUUCUCUAAACAGAGCUGCCUUCAGAUGUCUUCUAAACAUCUAGUAGUAGCUGUUCUCUUUGACAUCUGGUGGGAGGGUGUUCCACAGGGUGGGUGCCACUACCGAGAAGGCCCUCUGCUUGGUUCCCUGUAACUUGGCUUCUCGCAGUGAGGGAACCGCCAGAAGGCCCUCGGCGCUGGACCUCUGUGUCCAGGUAGAACGAUGAGGGUGGAGACUCUCCUUCAGGUAUACUGGGCUGAGGCCGUUUAGGGCUUUAAAGGUCAGCACCAACACUUUGAAUUGUGCUCGGAAACGUACUGGGAGCCAAUGUAGGUCUUUCAAGACCGGUGUUAUGUGGUCUCUGUGGCCGCUUCCAGUCACCAGUCUAGCUGCUGCAUUCUGGAUUAGUUGUAGUUUCCGGGUCACCUUCAAAAGUAGCCCCACAUAAAGCGCAUUGCAGUAGUCCAAGCGAGAGAUAACUAGAGCAUGCACCACUCUGGUGAGGCAGUCCAUGGGCAGAUAGGAUGGAGCAAGGUUGUUUUCUCCUGCUCUAGAGGGUAGGACCCAAACCAAUGGAUUCAAGUUACAAGGAAGGAGAUUCCAACUAAGCAUCAGGAAAAACUUUCUGACAGGAACAGCUAUUCAACAGUGGCACGUUCUCCCUCCAGAGGUGGUAGAUUCUCCUUCCUGUCAAUAUUUUCAUACUCUCCCGUUGCUGGAUGUGUGGUUGUUACAUCACAUGUCUGUGUUUACCUUCCAUGCUUGGAAAGUGUGGGAAACGGAAGCCAGUCCUAUCUCUUCUGUUGUAUUGUACUUCCUUCUUUCUCUCUCUCUCUCUCUGUUGGAGAAGAUGUGAGAGGACACCAUGAUUGCUUUGUCCUGUAUAUAUUGCUUAAUAAAUUACUUAGAUGCCAC